UGCCUAGUGGGCCACUUUUGGUAAGCAGAA
rnacentral:piRNA from 2 species